GCUCGACGGGGAAGCGGUACAUCGCCCCAC
rnacentral:sRNA from 1 species